rnacentral:rRNA from 1 species
CCUACGGGGGGCAGCAGUGGGGAAUAUUGCACAAUGGGGGGAACCCUGAUGCAGCGACGCCGCGUGGGUGAAGGAGUAUUUCGGUAUGUAAAGCCCUAUCAGCAGGGAAGAACAAUGACGGUACCUGACUGAGAAGCACCGGCUAAAUACGUGCAAGGAGCCGCGGUAAUACGUAUGGUGCAAGCGUUAUCCGGAUUUACUGGGGGUAAAGGGAGCGCAGGCGGGGCGUUAAGCCUGGUGUGAAAGCCCGCGGCCCAACCCCGGGACUGGAUUGGGAACUGGCGCGCUGGAGUGCCGGAGGGGUAGGCGGAAUUCCUGGUGUAGCGGUGAAAUGCGUAGAUAUUAGGCGGAACACCAGUUGCGAAGGCGGCCUACUGGCCGGUUACUGACGCUGAGGCUCGAAAGCGUGGGGAGCAAACAGGAUUAGAUACCCUAGUAGUC